UACGAAGGGGGCUAGCGUUGCUCGGAAUCACUGGGCGUAAAGGGUGCGUAGGCGGGUCUUUAAGUCAGGGGUGAAAUCCUGGAGCUCAACUCCAGAACUGCCUUUGAUACUGAGGAUCUUGAGUACGGGAGAGGUGAGUGGAACUGUGAGUGUAGAGGUGAAAUUCGUAGAUAUUCGCAAGAACACCAGUGGCGAAGGCGGCUCACUGGCCCGUUACUGACGCUGAGGCACGAAAGCGUGGGGAGCAAACAGG
rnacentral:rRNA from 1 species